GAAAAAAAUAAAGCAUUGACCCACGGACGCCACGCGCUGCCCUUCGCUCCAGCGCCGCCACCCCGGCCGCCGUCCUUUUCUCCUUCCCCUCCCCACCCAAUCUUCCCCGGCGCCACCACCAGCCUCCUCCAAGUCCAACCUCGGCCGUGUCCGUUUUGGAUCGGAUCCGCGUAGGAGAACUGCUCCAAUGCGGAGCAUGAAGAAAACCUCGACCGGAAAUCCAGCUAAAUUGCAUCCCAAGUUCAGAACCGUCCAAUGUCGCCUCCGCCCAAUUCGCCGGAAGACUGCCCAGUGUCGCCUCCGCCGACUUCGCCAGAAGACAACCCGUCGUCCGGGAAGAUUCAAAGUUCUGUUUCUUUGUUGCCUUCCAUGCAUCGCUUCAUGGUUUUGAGCAUUGGUGCAGGUCACUCCUUUUCCUUGAUGCGGUAUCUCCAAAACCGAAUUAAGAAGUGGAAGUUACUGACUGCUACUUCAGUUGACGGAGAAGGCGAUGUGUUCGCAGUUGUAUUCACUGUAGUGCACGACAAGAACCGUGAAAAUUGGCACUGGUUUCUUCAGCAACUAAAAUCUUCACGAAUUUCAGAUGCAACUGGACGAUUCGUGGGCUGAAGAAGUAAGAGAUGCCAAGGUUGUAUUUUGGGAACAGUCAGUGAAUCAGCUGGUCAGACUGAUGAUGGCUGAUGCGCCGGAGCAGAUCGGCGAGGCUGUGGAGAGGACGAACUACAGUCCUGCCAACACUAUGCAGGCAAGUAAGCCUUCAUCCUUAUAUUUCCUGCUCUGUGUUAUACUGUUAUAGGUCGUCGAAUUCAUCAAGAAAGCCCCAAAAAUUGGCUUAUGUCUGAUGUGUAUAACAAAAAUUAACUGUGCAGUUCUGUAAGUCUACCAUCAAUAAUAUUCUUAGCUGGAACAGUUCGUUGAAUCCAGCAAGAAGGCUCCACAAAGCAUCUUAUGUCUGAUGUAUAACAAAAAAGGCUAAUUAGUUUUUUAGGUCUAUCAGCAAUAACAUUCUUAGCCGGAUUAUGGGCUGAAGGUAGGGAAGGAGAUAUGAUCUGCAUCGCCUUAGGCGAUAACACAAAAUCCCUGCAAUAGGCUACCAUCCCUGCAUCAUCAACUCAAGCACCGGAUGAGUACACUUUCAUGCCUGCUCGCUUUCAUCCCUGCAAUAGGCUGUACAUAUUUUUUUUCAUGUUACCUUAUCUAAUAGUAUUAGUAAUUGCAGUAUUACCCAAUGAGAUUAGUUGAUUUUUCUCAUAGAGUGGAUUUGGAUGUGGUGUGUUGUUUCUUCAAAAUACAUGCUAAAUCUCAUAUUAUCUUCAACGUAUAUCUAACCUUCUGCCUCUGAGCAUUAGGCGAAGGCAUGAUGCUUAGCUUCUGAAUAUUCUAUACGUUUGAAAUUUUAGCAUACACAAUCUUCCUAGAUCUCUUGACUCAAUGUCAGUACCCUGUAUAAUGGUUCCUCAGUAAAUCCUUUGGUCAGAAGUUACAACUGUAGAAUCAGUGUAGGUCGAUUUUGCACACAUAAUAAGUACACACAUAAUCAAAUCAGUGUAGGUCGAUUUCGCAAUGUAUAGCACUAGGUAGUUACAUUGGACCAAACAACCAGAACUCGAACAACUAGGUGAGCAGAGUGAUAUAUAUGACAACUACGAGCACAACUGUAAAAGUUGUCGUGAUACUGUGCAACGACUGCCCAGAGUUAGUGUAUUUCUUCCCACGCGCAGUAGUGACAUUGAUAGGCUGAGAACCUGAAAGAGAUUUGGAGUUAUUGAUUAUCAAGUGGUUAAAACAACUAAAGGUUAAAGUAGAAGGACAAGACUUUAGCUUACAAUCAUAGUUCAUCCAGCCCAGGCGCUUCUUCUCCAAAUCAUGGACAAGAAUCUUGUCUACGAGCACGAUAUCUGCGUAAAUAAUCCAAUUGUUAAAAGAAAAGACAAUAUUCAGUCAUGCAUUAUUGUUGUUGAGAAUGCUGAAAAACAUAGUUUCGCGGAUUUUUGUACCUCCAAGUAAAGUGACUUGUCUCCCCGUGUUCCUAAGCCAGCCAAUGCAAUACACUGAAGGCUUAACCUGUAAAUGGAGGUCUAGAACAGUUAACCAUCUACGAGACAGUAAAGUAAUUCAAUGUUGGAAGACUCUAUUACAUACAUAAUACAUGUAGUUGUGAGGAUACAGAAACAUUUUGGCACCGCCCACAAAGUCUAGUUCCACGGACGGGAAAGCAGAGUCAAUACUGCAAUAUGCACAAACAAUGAAGGUGUAAGUUAUUUUGAUAGAUGUUGUUAACUUUGUUUCCAUAAUGAAAGGAAAAUACCUGGUGGAAGUGGAAAAACAAAUUUCGCCAUUUUCCCUGGUGAACGGAAGUGCAGACGGAGGGGUUGCAGCCCUUAUCUGUGGACAGAAAUCAUAAGACUUUUUUUUUCUUGCAUCUAAAGUAAAUUAGGUAGAUCAUGUGUUGCUUGUUGUAGCUAACAAAAAGAUGAAUAUAUCAUGUGAUCUUACAGCGUUAAUAAACGGAUCAUAUGCUCCAUCUGCGAGAAAUGCGAGCGUUGUUCCCGAAUCUACGAAGGUAAAAUUACUGGGUGAGGGUCCAAACACGGAGCUGUCAAUGGGGAGUGUCUGCCCAUUUACAGCUAUGCUCUGUAGAUUCACUUGGUAAUAUUGCCUGCAUUUCAUCAAGAUAGUUAGGACGGUGCACUUGAGACAGAGUAUAGUAGUUUCCAUGGAAAUUUAGAUAAAUUAACAUUAUUCUACGAGUUAAUUUAAAUAUACAAGAUGUCUUAGCUGGGACAGGAAAGCGUUGAUAGUAAGACGACAUUCUUGAUACCCCAAACUCUCUAAAGGGGAUGUGAGCCUACUGCUAUGACUGCUAUACACUCCGCCUCACCAUUUUCUGGGCAGCUUUAGUUAGUGCUCUACGAAAUUGCAAAUAUACGAGUUUAAGGAUGUAGUUGUUGCACUAGAAAAUCAACAUUAAGCUGAUAACUUUGACAACACACUAGACAUAAGCACUCAUAUACUACAUCUCUGAAGCAUAUGAUGAACAGAAAUACUAAUCAAUUCUAACUAGAACCAAAAUAGCACGACAAAAAUUACAUGUUGAGUUUUUGUGCAGAAGGUAAUAAAGCCUGGAAAAUAGUAGCAGCAUCUAAAGUUGAAUGGACUGGAGUGGUAGACCAUUUUUCAUUUAGGUCAUUUGAAUCUUUCCAUAUAGAAUGUGUUAUCUGUUUUGUUUUGUACCUGCCUAACAAACCAGACAACAAUAACUCUCUGCAAAAAACAAAAAAAACAAAAAAAAAACAGAUCAUAUUCCAUUUAGUUGUUUGACAAUGCAAAUUACUUCUACUUGCUUAUUAUUAUAAUGCUUAAGCAUCCUUCUUCGUUUCUUUGCUAGCUCUAAUGUUCCAAGUCUGCCUUUUGGGCUUCCACCUUAAAGUUGCCAGCUAUUGAACCGUGAGGGAAGCUGGACAUUCUAGUGCUUUUGGCAGUUUUAAGGGUGUUAAUAUUCUUCAAGCCAGUGAUUCUCUAAUUAGCACGCUACAGAAGGACUGCUGAAUGCGCUUAUGAAUGAUGCAGAGAAAACUAAACUCUGAGAAUCGAGGGCUUGGACAGACUUGAAGCCUUCUACUAUUCCAGUUGGCACUGUCUAUCAUUAAGCAGUUAACUUCUGCUUUAUUUUACACCUAUAUAUUGUCAAUUUAUCCGGAAACCUGGGAUCAAACAAUGAAAUUGGCUUUGCAACGAAGGACAAAUCUGUCUUUUGGGUUUCUACAUCGACCAAGUCCAAGCACAGGGGAAAAAAAUCUGAAAACUGCGGCAUUCCAUGAAUAGGUUAUGUUCAUAGCAUUCGCUCCACGGUCUCCACAUGUAUGCCUUGCUACCUGGGAUCGAGCCUGGGUGUGUGUGCCAUGGCAGGGUACUCUAUAGCUAUACAAUUGGUGCUUGCGAUGAAAAAUAGCUGCAGGUGUACACACAAACUGCGAAUAAUACUGCGAUAAAUGGCAACGACGAGACUGAAGAUACGGUGGUGUCUGUUAUUACAUUUGUUCAAACACAACUACUUAAUGUUUGCUCAGUCAAUGAUUCAUUAUGUGUUGUACAAUGUGGCGAAGCAUGCAUGUUUGUUCUACAGUAGUUCCCUUCGGGUUCUACGGGUUCAGCCCUUUUAUAACUAUUGGUUCCUGAG